GAUAAGACACAUUUCCACUUUUAGCAAGUGACAAGUGCAUUUCAAAACUUCGCAAAAUGUUCAAAAUCUUCUUUUUGUUGUUUGCCGCCUUGGUUGCCUUGGCCACCGCUGUUCCAGCUCCUGCCCCUGUGGCUCGUCCUGAACCAGCUCCAGCACCACAAUUCUAUUAUGGUGGCUAUCCAGCUGCCUACAGCUAUGGCUAUCCCGCUGCUUACUAUGGUUAAAGGGGAUUUGGAAUGAAAAGGAUAAUUGAAACUGACCGGAUAAUCCUAAAACUCUCUCUCGCUCUCUCUCUCUUCAGAAAUUCGUUUAAAUUUAGUUAAAUAAAAUAAUGUUUGCUUGUAAAAAAA